GACUAUGUUGCUCAGUGGUUAGAGCAUUGGUCCUUGCACCGAAUGGUUGCAGGUUCAAUUCCUGGUCAGGGGCA
rfam:Myotis davidii contig4337, whole genome shotgun sequence.